rnacentral:rRNA from 1 species
GACGAACGCUGGCGGCGUGCUUAACACAUGCAAGUCGAACGGAAAGGCCCUGCUUUUGUGGGGUGCUCGAGUGGCGAACGGGUGAGUAACACGUGAGUAACCUGCCCUUGACUUUGGGAUAACUUCAGGAAACUGGGGCUAAUACCGGAUAGGAGCUCCUGCUGCAUGGUGGGGGUUGGAAAGUUUCGGCGGUUGGGGAUGGACUCGCGGCUUAUCAGCUUGUUGGUGGGGUAGUGGCUUACCAAGGCUUUGACGGGUAGCCGGCCUGAGAGGGUGACCGGCCACAUUGGUACUGAGAUACGGCCCAGAAUCCUACGGGAGGCAGCAGUGGGGAAUAUUGCACAAUGGGCGGAAGCCUGAUGCAGCAACGCCGCGUGCGGGAUGACGGCCUUCGGGUUGUAAACCGCUUUCGCCUGUGACGAAGCGUGAGUGACGGUAAUGGGUAAAGAAGCACCGGCUAACUACGUG